GAUAACUUUUCGAAGGGGCGAGACGGUGGUGAUCGAGGGGUAAAAGGGAGAUCGAGAUUUGCCGGUGUUCGGCGGAGAGGAAGGUCCAAAGGGGAGCGGCACUGAUGGAUCGAUCGCUGUGGAAAACCGGAUCCCUGAUACCGUUCGGUCUCUUGCUCGCCGUGGUGUUUUUUGGCAUUCUCAAUUGCUAAAGAGGAGACCACCAAGUUGGGAACGGUUUUUGGGAUAGACCUAGGCACCACCUACUCUUGUGUCGGUGUCUACAAGAAGGGUCGUGUGGAGAUUAUAGCCAAUAACCCAAGGGAAUCGUAUUACCCUUUCUUGGGUGGCUUUCACUGAUUCUGAAAGAUUGAUUGGUGAGGCUGCAAAGAAUCAGGCAGUCGGACCAUUUUUUUUAUGUCAAGGACUCAUUGGAUGAAAAUUUGCAGAUUAAAGAUUGUGUGAACAAGGAUGGCAAGCCUUGACAAACCAACGGCGACACUCAUCUGGGAGGUGAGGACUUUGAUCAGAGAAUCAUGGAGUACUUCAUCAAAUUGAUCAAGAAGAAGCACGGGAAGGACAUCAGCAAGGACAACCGCGCACUUGGGAAGUUGAGGAGGGAGUGUGAACGUGCCGAGAGAGCUUCGAGUAACCAGCACCAAGUCCGCGUCGAGAUCGAGUCGCUCUACGAAGGCGUUGGAUUUCCCGGAGCCUCUCACGCGUGCCCGUUUCAAGGACCUGUUCAGGAAGAUCAUGGGGCCGGUGAAGAAGACCAUGGAAGAUGCUGGGCUGGAGAAGCGGCAAAUCGAUGACAUCGUUCUCGUGGGCGGCAGCACACGGAUUCCCAAAAGGUGCAGCGGCUUUUGAAGGACUACUUCGACAGGAAAGAGCCGGACAAGGGGGUCAACCCAGACGAGGCUGCUGCAUAUGGCGCCGCGGUGCAAUGAAGCAUUUUGAGUGGAGAAGGUGGCGAAGAAACGUAAGACAUUCUUCUUUUGGACGUGGCACCGACUGGAAUCGAGACUGUUGGCGGAGUGAUGACGAAGCUGAUUCCAAGGAACAUAGUCAUCCCGACCAAGAGCCCUCCUGAUACUUUGUACCUGCGGCGAUAUCAUUCGAUAAUGCAGACAUAGAUAUAUAUACAAAACGUUUAAAGGAAUACAUGCUUCAUGCGAAAAAAGCAAAUCGAGCAUAAAGAGAUUCGUUGACGGCAAAGAUGACAUUAAGUACAUCAUAUGCUUUGCCCAAUUAGAAUGAAUGCAUCGCUUCGACUACCAGGGAGACACUUUGUCUCUGCUCAGUAAGCACAGGGAAACACUUACACUAACAGGGUUAUGUCAAGUUCAAUGGCAAGCUCAAUCUGUGGCUUCCUUCUGUAAACACUGAAUUCUCUUCUACGU